UACGAAGGGGGCUAGCGUUGCUCGGAAUCACUGGACGUAAAGCGCACGUAGGCGGCUUUUUAAGUCAGGGGUGAAAUCCUGGAGCUCAACUCCAGAACUGCCUUUGAUACUGGGAAGCUCGAGUCCGGGAGAGGUGAGUGGAACUCCGAGUGUAGAGGUGAAAUUCGUAGAUAUUCGGAAGAACACCCGUGGCGAAGGCGGCUCACUGGCCCGGUACUGACGCUGAGGUGCGAAAGCGUGGGGAGCAAACAGG
rnacentral:rRNA from 1 species